rnacentral:rRNA from 1 species
UACGAAGGGGGCUAGCGUUGUUCGGAAUCACUGGGCGUAAAGCGCACGUAGGCGGGUCGUUAAGUCGGGGGUGAAAUGCCAAGGCUCAACCUUGGAACUGCCUUCGAUACUGGCGAUCUCGAGUCCGGGAGAGGUGAGUGGAACUCCGAGUGUAGAGGUGAAAUUCGUAGAUAUUCGGAAGAACACCAGUGGCGAAGGCGGCUCACUGGCCCGGUACUGACGCUGAGGUGCGAAAGCGUGGGGAGCAAGCAGG